UGCUUCCAGCAGGGUUUAGUUAACAGCUGCAGCACGUCUUUCUAAAGGCGACAGUCACGUGACUCGGCGUCAUACAUUCGGCGUCGCACAGCAGCUCGGGCGCUUGUUUUAUUUCUUAUUAUAUAUAUUUUUCAAACCGCAGUUGAUCGAUGCUCUUAAAACUGUGCUAUCAUCGUUAGAAAAUCUGUAUCGAGGAGUUUGACUGAUUUACAUCCACACAUCUGCAUCUGGGAGGCUCUGGAAUUAAAUGGUCAUGACUGAGCGAGUGUUUGUGUUUGUUGAUGAAGAGGAGCUUUUCGGCGUGAUGAAGGAUCUUGACUGUCUGUACUGCAGGAAUCCAGUGACUGCAUCUAAACAUCACCUCAAAAAGAGACAUCUCAGAUUCGCGGUGUAUUAUAAAGACUCUGGCAUUGGUAAUUGACCAGUAACCGUUUCUAUAACACACAUCUUGCAGAGAGGUAGUAUUUUACACCCAUUCUCAACUCUAAUGCUGUCUGUUCUUUCUGACAGGGAAGUUUUCUAUCCCCUGUUAUUGUUCUGAUGGAGGCCAUGGCAGGAGCCACUGGCAUUGCCCAAUGUGCUCAAAAAUAUUGCAAAGGACAAAGGAUUACAAAAUCCAUAUUACCAACCAUGGUGUUGAGAUGACUGACAAAUCCACAGUUGAGCUACAACCUACAACAGUCCUGUUGGAGAGCCAACAAACAGACAACGAAGACAAGACUCCGGGCAACAAGUCAGCGUGCCAAAAGUGUGGCAUCUUCUUUACCACCACAUCAAAUUUGAGACGGCACGAGAGGCUACAGCACAGCCAGAACCAGCAGCCCAUGUUAUGCAUAGAUGCCAAAAAUGCCAUCUAUGUUACACCUAAGGAUCUGCAUGGACCUAGAGUGCCCAUUCAUAUCCGCAAAUCCUUUGCCUUACAGAUACUGCUGUGUGAGCUGGAGGAAUGCUGGGAUUUCAUGAGAGCACAGGCCCAGAGCGGGAAUCCUGGUAAAGAGUGCCGUCACCUCGUGAGAACUAAUCACGCGCAGCACUACGUUCCCCCUCCACCGCUGUGUGUCAGCUCUCUGGAGGAGAUGACCGACAAACACCUCCUGUCCAUAUCGGAGAAACAAGAGUGCCAGGAGAUGAACUCCAGGGCAUGUUUAGAGGGAGCCGAUUGUGUGUACCCUAUUUUUUGGGGGGAGCAUGACCUUCCAGAGAGAUGUGUCUACUUUUCUGUGUACACAGACCUCAAGGACAAAUGGUGUCAGUUUGGGAGGACACGCGUCUCGUUUGACACCAAGUCUGGCAGCUGGAAGUGUCUAUGUGAACACAAAAGAAACCGUUGCGUCCACAAGCAUUUAUCUAUGUGGUGGUUGUUUCAGGAGCAUCCCAGAUUGUUGCAAAAUGCCCUAGAUAUCAACGCUGAAAGAGUCGACGUGGUCAUCGAUGAAGAGGUUAAAAUGUGUCCUGAGGGUGACGACCUCUGCUAGCUUCGACAUCCAUCAGAACUUCACUCUCGUGUUCUGUCUUCACUCAAUAAAAACACUUGCCAUACACUUUAUUUUGCCUUGUAGUUUGUUAACAGUUGGUUUGCAAAAAUUCAUGUGCAGUGCUGUGCUAUGUUUAGUGUUGUGGGAAACGCAUUACAAGUAACACUAAUUAUGUAAUCAGAUUACUUUUGUAAAGUAACUAGUAACAUAUUACUUUUACAUGUACAAUGACAUUUCUGAGUUACUUUGUCAAAUAAGUAACAAAAGUUAUUUUGGUACUUUGUCCUCAGCUCCUGUCCCCGUGUUGAGAGAAAUCAGAGGCACUUCCCUCAGCCUGAGGCUUAUUAUUUUCACUUUUGCUGUGAAAGGGCCAUUACAGUGCAGGUGACAAAAAGUAAUGCAAAAGUACGUAAUGCAUUACUUUCCAUGAACAGUAGUAACUAAGUAAUGCAAUUAGUUACUUUUUUUGGAGUAAUGCGAUGUUGUAAUGCAUUACUUUUAAAAGUAACUUUCCCCAACACUGUAAGUUUAUGACGUUGCCAUACUCAUUUUAUUAAUGAUAUCCAAGUUAUAUUUGUGGUGAAUAUUUCUUGAAAGGUGUCAUGAGAUUUAUUCAUGGAUUAUUCAACUGAAAAGCAAAAUGUGUGUUCUCGUGCUUUCAAAGCCAAAUGUAAUAAAUACUAAGUCCAAUAACAAUCUCAGUAAACUCUCUUUGUGGGGAAGUUUCACUUUAGGCUUUGUAUUAAAUGGUGAGUUGUGUGACAUGAUUGUGUGACCGAUUUACACAAAGUAUUGAUGAUGUUGUGUGUCUUAACUGAUUUUACACAACAUAAAUAAUGUUCAGUAUUAUGAUUUUUAAAAUGCA
rnacentral:lncRNA from 1 species